rnacentral:lncRNA from 11 species
CUUAUAAGUGGUUGGUUUAACCUCUGGUUUUCUAGUAAAACUAAAUUACUGUGUCCUGAAAUGAGGAAUGUCUAAAAAGGUGUGCCACCAACAUGAAAUGUUUGGAAAGCUCUGGUACAGGUCCUUCUGCUGAACCGGAUGAGAUCAGUUAAAACUUAGCACAGGUUAGCAUAGGGUUGUGGGUGCUUAGUUUCUCUGAAAGAAAGACAUUACAUAAAACAGGUUUGGAGAGACUGCGGGGCAAGGGAUUGAUAGGAUUUUGAUAUCUGCAAAAAAGAGGAACACAACCUUUUCCCCCCUCUCCAAAACGGUUUUGCACUCCCCUGGUUUGAAGCUGGUUUAGUCCAUCGUUGAUGCUGAUGCAUUGUCCGACCACAUCUUGUUUCCGUCAAACUUUGUGGUGUCUUGCUGUUGAUAUGGCUCUUGUCGUUGUGUAAGCCAGAAUGAACGCUGGCAAUGACUGUGAGGUGGAUGUGGUCAAAAACAUUGACGACGUUACUUCCCUCCCCAGGGAGAAAAGGGGAAGCUGUUUGGUGUCUUUUCUGCUUGACCCAGAUGCCCAAUGGAGUAUCUUCAACGGCUGCUGGGGACCCUGCAACAGGCUGUGAAUUUUGUUUCCUCCUUUACUUCAUACCUCCUUGGAGAUGAAGCUCACCCAGGAGCCGGAGAGACAGAAAAUGCAAGGGAGACAAGCUGCCACCAGAACUAUGAAGUUGAGACAACACACUAUGGAGAUGUUCUUCCAGGAGGAUAUCUGGAAGCCGUAGAAAGACCACUCACCACAGAGGUAGGCAUUGGAGGGUUGAAGGUAAGAAAGACCCAUCUAUGCUCCAGCUUUUUUCCACUAAGAAUUGUCUUUUUCAGGUGUCCUCACCCCAUCAUGAGAUCCAGGAAAGGGAAGAAGCUCAAACAACAGUGGUUGUUUCUGGACUGUCAGAACAACGCUGCAAAUAUGAGAAAAAGUCUCAGCAGGAGCUCUCAGGUGAUGGGACGUUCUAGAAUGCAUCACAGUCAUAUUGUGGGGAGUGAUGGAUAAUUCCAUGGGGUUUGAGUUCCUAGCUGGUUUGUUUCAAAACAGACCCCCCUGUUAUUAUGUAUUUAUUUCUUUAAAUAUUUGUAUUCUACUCUUUAUUGUGGUGUUUUCGGGAAGGAUAUGAAUUGCAAUAUAAGCAUUUUAAAACAAUUCCAGAUUAGAACAAUCAAAUAAGUUACCGUAUAUACGCGAGUAUAAGCCGACCCGAAUAUAAGCCGAGGCAUCUAAUUUUACCACAAAAAAAAUGGGAAAACAUUUACUCCAGUAUAAGCCAAGGGUGGUAAAUUCAGAAAUAAAAAUAGAUACCAAUAAAAUUACAUGGAGGCAUCAGUUGGUUAAAUGUUUUUGAAUAUUUACUUAAAGCUCAAAUUUAAGAUAAGACUGUCCCACUCUAAUCAAAUCAUUAUUCUCAUCUUCUUCAAUGUAAAUGUGCUUAUGUAUCCUUUGAAUAAUAAUAGAGUAAAAUAAUACAUGUAAUAAUAAUAAUAAUAAAUACAGGAAAAUAAUACAAGUAAUAAUAAAUAGAGUAAAAUAAUAAAUGCAAUAAUAAUAAUUAGAUCAGAGUGAAAUAAUAAAUGUAAUAAUAAUAAUAAAAAUAAAAUAAAAUAAAAUAAAUGUAAUAGUAGCAACAAUAAUAGAGAUAAAUAAUAAAUGUAAUAAUACCAAUAAUGAUAGAGAAAA